AUUGAACGCUGGCGGCAGGCCUAACACAUGCAAGUCGAAAGAGUGGCGGACGGGUGAGUAAUGUCUGGGAAACUGCCCGAUGGAGGGGGAUAACUACUGGAAACGGUAGCUAAUACCGCAUACCAUCGGAUGUGCCCAGAUGGGAUUGGCUAGUGGGUGGGGUAACGGCUCACCUAGGCGACGAUCCCUAGCUGGUCUGAGGGGAUGACCGGCCACACUGGAACUGAGACACGGUCCAGACUCCUACGGGAGGCAGCAGUAGGGAAUAUUGCACAAUGGGCGCAAGCCUGAUGCAGCCAUGCCGCGUGUAUGAAGAAGGCCUUCGGGUUGUAAAGUACUUUUAGUGGGGAGGCGUUACCUGCAGAGGAAGCACCGGCUAACUCCGUGCCAGCAGCCGCGGUAAUUC
rnacentral:rRNA from 1 species